rnacentral:misc_RNA from 1 species
GCUCCUCGCCAGUCGCCGUAGCCCCUCUCCUCUUUCUCAUCCAUUCUUUGGAUAAACCCUCUUAAAACCCUCGAAAAUUGUAAUUUGGAACUAUGUUAAUUACCAGGAGAUGAAGCGAGUGUUCAAAAUCUCGGAUGCAGCCCAAUCAGAGCUGCUUUGCCGCCACAGAUCCCCUACUAUCUCCCUAAAUUUGUCCCCUUUAACUUACGGCCUCACCGAGUCCCCAGUUUACAGACUUGCCCGAGCGCAGACUCAUACUUCGCUGCCCUCCAAUUUUUUCCCUUACAUUAUCCCGCUUUUUUCUGACAAAUUCUCUCAAGUUGAAACCAAAGCCAGCCAGGAUUUGAGCAAAAAGGUGUCCCU